GCGAGGAGCCCGGCGCACUGGGACGACGCCGACAGGUUCAUGCCUGAAAGAUUUGAGCGCGACGAUAGCGCGGCAGGUUAUUCCAGGGCUACUACUGAUGGCACUACACAGUUUGAGUACCUGCCGUUUGGGCACGGGAGGAGGAUUUGCCCGGGCAUGGGCUUCGGCUUGUCCACCUUGGAGAUCCUAGUUGCGCGGCUCCUCUACUACUUUGACUGGAGCCUUCCGGAAGGAAUGCAGGUGGUGGACCUGGACAUGGACAUGACUGUCGGUGCGUCGGCCAGGAGGACCAACAAACUGCACCUAGUGGCCUCGCCGUAUCAAGUGCCCACGUAGAUUUCAUAUGAUGGUUGCAGUUUUGCAACCAAAAGUUGUGCCUCUUUUUCUUUUCCUGGCUUCUUUCCUAUCCUGCGGAAAUCAAAUAAGGCCUUGUUCGGUUAUCUCUUAAUCCAUGUGGAUUGAGUUGGAUUGGGUGGGUUUAAAUCCCAAACAAGUCAAAGUUCUUCUAAAUUUUUUCCAAUCCCGCUCAAUCCAUAUAUAAUGGGAAUAACCGAACAAGACCUAAACAGUUUACGUAUUCACUACCAACUCCAGCAGCCUCCGUAUCCAACUCUCCGGUACUACUAACUCCAACAGCCUCCGUAUCCAGCUCCCCAUCCCCAUUUUGCAUGUUCUAAAUUAUUGUCCAGCCGUCCAGCAGCCUCGCCCUGUUGAGCACUAAAUUUGGUACCUAGAAGACCGGACGGUCCACGUCUCGGACCAUUAGUAAUUAUAUUAAUUCAGACUCAAGUCCUUAUCCUUUAUGUGAUUAUCCUAAUAAAUCUCACAGAAAGUUGUUGAAACUAUCUAGAUACGAGUAUAUAUAUAUAUACUCCCUCCAGUGCAGUAAAGGUAGUCAUUUAGGAUAUGAUUGUGCAUACCAAGGAGUGAUUAAUUAUCAUAGAGUUUUCCCUGUUUGCCCCUAGUAAAUAGGGAUAUGGGUGCAUUAACAUCACUAAAACAAUCAAGCUUGAUUGGUUGCUGCAGCAGCUCCAAAGCAUUCUAGACUGGAGGUCUCAAGUUCGAUUCCUCUUAAAUGCAUCUUUUUUGUGCAAUUACUAGGGGCAACAACGUCCAAAUCCCAGACCCACGCGCACUAUGACUUCUUUUUGUGCACGCUCGGUCACGCGCAGGAUGACUUCUUUUACUGCACCGGAGGGAGUAUAUAUAUAUAUAUUACAUCUUAGUGCAUUCAAUAUAGAGAAUGCACCUAGGUCGAACCUACGCGCCAGAAGCACCUGGUCCGAGCCAACCGUCCCACCCAGGCCGAACCGACGCGCAGGCCCUGACAACUUCAGUCUACACCAAGACCAGCAGUUGCGAUCAUUGUUUUGUUUAACAAAUUUUUGGACAUAGUUAUAUAGAAGUUGCAAUCACACCAGACCAGCAGUUGCAAUCAUUGUUUCUUUAACAGAUUUUUGGACAUAGUUAUAUAAAAGUUGCAAUCACACCAGACCAGCAGUUGCAACCAGACCAGCAAUUGCAAUCAUAUUUUUUAACAAAAUUUCCCAGAGUUAUUCAAUAUAGAGAAUGCACUCAGGCCGAACCUACGCGCCAGGAGCACCUGGUCCGAGCCAACCGCCCCACCCAGGCCGAACCGACGCUUCGUCUUCGUCCCUCCCGCACGCUCCCGACAGAACCUUUUCACUUCCCCGCCCCCGCCCCUCUUUCUCCGCGAACGGCUCCUCCGUGAACGGCUCAACCUCUUCACUUCCCCGGCGACGUAGCCCGCGCCAGAGCCGUUGCGCGCACGCCCGCGCUCGUCUUCGUCCCUCCCGCACGCUCCCGACAGAACCUCUUCACUUCCCCGCCCCCGCCCCACUUCUCCGCGAACGGCUCCCGACAGAACCUCUUCACUUCCCCGGCGACGUAGCCCGCGCCGGAGCCAUUGCGCGCGUGCUCGCGCCCCGCGCGCCCGGGGCCGCCGUGCAAGCGCAUCCGCCCCCUCUCCCGUUUCUCUGUCAUUUGAUCGUUUUCUAGGUAAGAGCGUAACUGCUUCCACCCAAAUUUUUUAGUGUUAUUCUGAUGCGGAGUAUAUGUUGAUAAUGAGGUUAUCAUAUUAUGUGUAACUGUCCAUUAACCUUGUUGCAAUUUGGAGGACCCGAUUUAAGUACAUUGAUUUUGUUGGAUUUGUUUUGUUAUCUUCGGUAAUAGACUGGUAAUCCCCAUUUUUUCCCAAGUGUUGCAACUAGUAUUAUCCGUUGAUUGCAAUUAGUAAUUGUUGUAUUUUGUGCGGAUACAUUUCAUUUUAAUAAGCAUUUUGUGUUCUAGAUUAUCAACUCAGAUGUUUCCACUUUUUGCAACUGCAGUGUACCUUUUUUUGCAACUGUAUAAUUUUAAUUUUCAACCCACAGACAUCAUUCCUGUCUUUUGCAACUGUGCUCAUAUACAACUAGUUAUUGGUUUAAAUUCACUGUUGCAACUGUCCCAGUAGUAAUUAUUUUAGCAGUCUUGUUGCAACUGGCUUAUGGCACAUGUGGCAAUUCUGUACACUUUUGAAUUUUUUUCAUUAUCUGGAAUUCAACCACACACACUAAUGUGUGUUGCAGCAUUAGUGUGUAUUGCAACUAUUUUUUUUCCUAUUUGUACUGUGUGUUUUAGUUUGUUGAUUAGCAAUUUUUGGUUAUGAGAUCUGUACCAUGUGCUUGUGCCCUCACGUUUUUUUAUUCCCAUUUUUUUAGUGGUUUUUAUAAUGGAUCAAGAACAGAAUGUCAUAGGCCAGCAAGGCGCUGACACUGUCCGUCGCUCUCCUCAUGUACAAAACAAGAGAAAGGAAUUAGAUAAAAAUGAAUUGAAGAAAAGGAGGAAGAGGUUAAGGUUGAAAGUCCCCUUGUCUCCUAUUCAAGAUGAAGAAAGUGAUGAUGAACAAGACCCAGAGUUUGCUCCUGCCGGUGAUGGUUCUGGCGACGUCAAUGUUGUUAUUGUUGGUGGCGAUGAGAAUAAGGGUAAAAAUAAGACACGAGCUAUACGAUGCUCACCUGGGAAGUUCAUAAAGCUUGUGAAUGCUCUCUCCGAUGAAUUGAAAGGUGAAGUAGUUGCCAAGGGGUUUGGCGGCCUGCUGAGAUUCAAGCUGCACUUAUUGUCCAGAAAAUUGCUCAGCUGGCUGAUGCGGAAGCUUAACUCAGAGACGAUGAAAUUAGAGAUUGGUGGUGGAAAAGAGAUUCCAAUCACUGAGCACAAUGUUUGGUGUGUUUUGCUGUUACCAAACGUUGGCCGUGACCCGCCCCCCAUGUCUGAUGCAGAUGCUCGUGCCUUGCGGGACGAGCUGGGAGAGAAAAUUUGUGGCAACUCUUAUAGACGCAGAUCUGGUAUCAAUCUAUCUGUUAUCACUGAUCGGCUGCAGAAGAGGAUUCUCACUGGGGAGCUGGGCCUGAGAGCCUUUUUCAUGGCUGCAUUUCAGUGUCUGCUAUUAUCCAACACUGACACUCGCAUCAGGAUUGAUGAUGUAAAGUAUACUCAGGACAUCCAGAACAUGGCCAACAAGAACUGGUGCAAAGCGGUAGUUGACAGGCUCAGCAUAGCUGCUCGUCUUUAUAAAAAGGAUUUUGCGGAGAAAGGCAUCAAUGCACCCAUCAGUGGAUGCGGGAUCUUCGUAGCUGUAAGCUCAACGCACACAUUCAAUUUUUGCCCUUGCAACUUACUCUUCCAAUUACACAAGUAGUAAUUGUUUUAUGUUUACUGUUACAACUGUCAUAUGUUACAAGUUGCAAUUUGAUUUACUUUUUUGAUUUUUUUAUGAUAGCUUAGUUCACACAUUCACAUAUAUUUUGUAAUUUAUGUUGUACACAAAGUAGCAAUAAUUUUAGUAUUUUCUAUUGCAACUGGCUUAUUGCACCUGUGCCAAUUCGGUUUACUUUUUUCAUUAUCUGAAUUCAACCUAAAAUACCCACGUGUCUUUUACCUAAUGUUAAAAACAUACCGAUGCUUUAUGUCGACAACCUACAGCAUGGAUUUGACACAAGUCCCUUUUUGAUCCCUUGAUGUGCUUUCUUGGACUCGAAGACGAUUGAUGCGAUAGUGAAAGGGAAUUAGGCUUACACCUAUUUCCUAAAUUGAUUUUGGUGGUUGAAUUGCCCAACACAAAUAAUUGGACUAACUAGUUUGCUCUAGUGUAUAAGUUAUACAUGUGCCAAAGGUUCACACUUAGCCAAUAAAAAGACCAAGAAUUGGAUUCAACAAGGAGAGCAAAGGGAUAACCGAAGUGUGCCCUGGUCUGGCGCACGGACUGUCCGGUGCACCACCGGACAGUGUCCGGUGCACCAGGGGACUUCACGCUGAACUCCUCACCUUCGGGAAAAUCCAGAGGCGCUCCGCUAUAAUUCACCGGACUGUCCGGUGCCCCAGGGAAGAGCGACUCUGGAACUCGCCAGCUUCGGGAAUUCGCUCCGCUAUAAUUCACCGGACAUGUCCGGUGCACACCGGACUGUCCGGUGAGCCAGCGGGGCAACGACUACUUCGCGCCAACGGUCACCUGCAGAGGCAUUAAAUGCGCGCCAGAGCGCGCAGAAGUCAGGCACACGCGAAGUGGCGCACCGGACACUCUACAGUGCAUGUCCGGUGUGCCACCGGACAUCCAGGCGGGCCCAGCAGUCAGAGCUCCAACGGUCGGAACCCAAUGGCCUGGUGACGUGGCUGGCGCACCGGACACUGUCCGGUGCACCAUGCGACAGACAGCCUCCACCAAACGGCUAGUUUGGUGGUUGGGGUUAUAAAUACCCCCAACCACCCCACAUUCAAGUCAUCCAAGUUUUCCUACUUCAACUACUUACAAGAGCUCUAGCAUUCAAUUCUAGACACACCCAAGUGAUCAAAUCCUCCCCAAAUUCCACACAACUCCUUAGUGAUUAGUGAGAGAGAUUUGCUUGUGUUCUUUCGAGCUCUUGCGCUUGGAUUGCUUUCUUCUUUGAUUCCUUCUUGCGAUCAACUCAAUUGUAACCAAGGCAAGAGGCACCAAUUGUGUGGUGGCCCUUGCGGGGAAGUUUUGUUCCUGUUUAAUUGAGAAGAAGAAGCUCACUCGGUCCAAGGGACCGUUUGAGAGAGGGAAAGGGUUGAAAGAGACCCGGUCUUUGUGACCACCUCAACGGGGAGUAGGUUUGCAAGAACCUAACCUCGGUAAAACAAAUCCGCGUGUCACACUCCUUAUUCGCUUGCGAUUUGUUUUGCACCCUCUCUCGCGGACUUGAUUAUAUUUCUAACGCUAACCCGGCUUGUAGUUGUGAUUAACUUUGUAAAUUUUAGUUUCGCCCUAUUCACCCCCCCUCUAGGCGACUUUCAAUUGGUAUCAAAGCCCGGUGCUUCAUUAGAGCCUAACCGCUCGAAGUGAUGUCGGGAGAACACGCCAAGAAGGAGAUGGAGACCGGCGACAAGCCCGCUACAAGCCACGGGAAAGCUUCAUCGGAAGAGUCCCGCAAAAAGGGAAAGGGGAAGGAGAAGAAAGCUUCUUCCCACAAGUCGCAUCGGAGUGGGGACAAGAAAAAGAAGAUGAGGAAGGUGGUCUACUACGAGACCGACACCUCAUCGCCAUCUACCUCCGGCUCCGACGCGCCCUCCGUAACUUCCAAGCGCCAUGAGCGCAAGAAGUUUAGUAAGAUCCCCUUACACUAUCCUCGUACUUCUAGACAUACUCCAUUACUUUCGGUUCCAUUAGGCAAACCACCAACCUUUGACGGUGAAGAUUAUGCUAGGUGGAGUGAUUUAAUGAAAUAUCACCUAACCUCACUGAAAGGGAAUUAGGCUUACACCUAGUCCCUAAUUAAUUUUGGUGGUUGAAUUUCCCAACACAAAUAAUUGGACUAACUAGUUUGCCCAAGUGUAUAGAUUAUACAGGUAUAAAAGGUUCACACUCAGCCAAUAAAAAGAUCAAGUUUUGGAUUCAACAAAGGAGCAAAGAGGCAACCGAAGGCACCUCUGGUCUGGAGGCACCGGACUAUCCGGUGUACACCGGACAGUGUCCGGUGCACCAGAGGACUCCAACUCGAACUCGCUACCUUCGGGAAUUUCUCAGGCCAGCGCGCUAUAAUUCACCGGACUGUCCGGUGUACACCGGACAGUGUCCGGUGCGCCAAGGAAGAGCGGCCUCAGGAACUCGCCGGCUUCGGGAAUCUCCAACGGCUAGUCCGCUAUAAUUCACCGGACAUGUCCGGUGUGCACCGGACUGUCCGGUGCAACUCCGGAGCAACGGCUAUUCGGCGCCAACGGCUACCUGCGACGCAUUUAUUGCGCGCUCUGCACGCGCAGAAGACAGGCGCGCCCAUACUGGCGCACCGGACAAGGAACAGUGCAUGUCCGGUGUGCACUGGACAUCCAGGCGGGCCUACAAGUCAGGAGCUCCAACGGUCAUAAUCCAACGGCCGUGAUGACGUGGUGGGGUGUCACACCCGGUUUUUAGAAGGCAAACCGAAUGCGAACCAUGUACGUGCCAGGAUCAGUUAUUCACGUACACAGCAGUUACAUAAUAUGGACAUCAUCACACAGUGCUCAAAAUAGUAUUAAUAAGGGAAAUAGUCGAUUACAUCAUACGUCUGAGACGUCCAUAUAGUUCUUACAAUAAAUCAAAGUGCGGAAAAGAAACGUAGAUAACACGGCCUUCACAGGCAGCCGACUGGGGGUUGCCGCUAACCCACACCUAGAACUCGUCGUAAUCUUGGAACUCCUGGAAGUCUCCUUCCACAGCUUCAUCUUCGCCUGAGCAGUGGUUGCAAUGCUGACAACCUGGGGGGGGGUUUGGUGUGUAGAGCAAGGGUGAGUACACAUCAACAUACUCAGCAAGUAUCCUGUUUGGCUGUAGUGGACUAGCUUUAUGUGGGGAUAAGUCAAGCAGUUGCUUUUAGUUGGUCAGAUUAUUAUUUACUAGUAGAAAGCCAAGUUUUAGCAUUAACCCAAGUUAUUAACCCGAUGUAUCCUUUCCAAACGGAAAGAAUACCACUUACCAGCACCAUAAUCAUAACCAGAACCAUCAAUCUCAUAACCACCUGUACCACAAUGUCUCUGAUCAAGUAUCACUAAUCUCUGGAGCUCCCUUGGCCGCUCAUAACCGCGAGCACGGCUGAUAUAUCAGUUUCAUAACACUCUGCAGAGGUUGUGCACUUUACCCACAAGCCGUGAUUCCCUCUCUAGCCCGGGCUUGCAAGACCCUUAUUCACUCCCGAGGUGAAUGGCCAGGGAUUCACUACGAAGCCUUUACAAAGAUUCCCCGGGGCUGUAGCCACCCGUUAGGUUUCCUAAAUGCACCGCACUCCUCCCCAAGGGGCGAACCCAAACUUGGCAGAGCGAGCCGCAUACACCGAGCCCCAUUGACGGCACGACGGCUAAGUGAACUACACCCCGGAUCCUCUAAUUAUUCAGCUAAGGGCACCCCAUUCCACCCUCAUGGUUGCACUGUUUUCCCGGGCGGUCAUCCAUAGAACAGGUCCUUACGGAGAGGCACUCGAGAAACCGCUCGAGUCCCCUUGAAAACCACAAGUAUAAUCAUAAAGAAGAACGGGAAAACAGCGUAUCAUAGAUAAUCACAUCAUGUUCAUUGAUUAGAGUUGAGCAAUAGCAUCAGUCUAAGUAGUAAUAAUCCGACCCAAAUAGGUAAACAAGGACAUGGAUAACAAAAGCUAGUCAAUCCUUAGGUAUAAAUGUGUAAUGCGGGAGGUGAAUUAAAGAAUGAAUAGGACAUAGAUAGGUCAAAGGACACUUGCCUCCACCAAACGACUGCUGCUCAGGGGCUUCUCCUGCGAAUUCCUCGGGCUCUUCGACCGGAUCGUUCUCUAUGCGAGCGCAAACGUACAUACAUACAUCCACAUAUUUAAUACAAAAGAACAGUACACCAUACAAGAUAACCAAAUAAGCGAAUAUGCAUCAAGUAUGACAUUCGAUAACGCAUUUGUUAUGGUUAGAAAGAAACGGGAAAGGUCUCGCAGGGGGGGUUAAAUCUUAUGCACUAAUGACACAAUUGGUUUUUAACAAAAUAAUUCUGUUAUACAUAUUUAUAUAUACUAAUGGAAACCUAAUCACUUUUAGUUGAUCAACAUUGCACAGGGUAAACAAUUAACUACGUGAAUCAAUAACAUAACGGAAUUUUAAAUUAAACUUCCUAUUUUCUCAUAGCAUAAACAGUGAUUAGCCUACUUAAAAUACAGUAAUUAUGAUCACAGAAAGUAAAUAAAAUAAAAUAAAAAAAAAAAUAAAAAAAACAGAGGGGAGGGGGCGGUUGAACCGGCCCUAGGGCGGUUGAACCGGCCCGGGGGCAGGCGGCCGAGCUGGGGCGGCCGAGCGCGGGGGCGGCCGAGCUGGGGGGGGGGGGCGGGGCGGCUGAGCCGGGGCCGAGGCCGGCUGAACCGGCCCGGGACAGGGGGGCGCGGCCAGGGGGCCAGGGCGGGCGGCGGGCGCGGUCAGGGGGCCGAGCGGCGCGGGCGCGGCCAGGGGGCCGAGCGGCGCGGGGCUGGGGGCGGCCGGGCGGCCGGGCGGCGCGGCCAAGGGCCAGCGGCCAAGGGGAGAAGGAGGGGAGGGGGAAGGAGAGAGGAGGGAGAAGGGGGAGGGGAGGGGGCUCACCGGCGAGGGGGGUGGCCGACGGCGAGGGCGCGCAGCCGGGGUCGGGGCAGCGACGACGGCUAGGGCAGGGAGGUGGGUGGGGGCGGCGGCUUGGGUGGGGAGGGAGAGAGGGAGAGAAUGAGGGAGAGGGAGAGGGGAUUUGGGGAAAAAGAGGGGGGGGGUGGGGGGCGGCUGGGCCUGCUUUGGGCCCAAGAGGGGGGCGCGCAGGGGCCUGGGCCGGCCGGGGUCGGCCCACGGCGCGGGAAAGAGAGAAAAAGAGGAGAGAGAAAGAGAGAGAGAAAGAAAGAAAAGAUCUUCUCCUCAUUUUCGAAAUCCGAUCUUUCUACAUGCAUGCAUUUGCGCUUUCAAAGCAAUCAAAAGAAAUGCAAGGUUCGGCAUGGUGCAUCAAGCAACAUAAAGCAUUUAGGGUUUUUAUACGUACGGGAAUUCCAAACCGAAUCCCGCUAGAACUUUGGAAAAGGUCAAGGUUUAGCGAGGGAAAAAGAAAAGGAAAAGGUAACGCCCGAAUUUUGGCGAGUAAAGAAAAGAAAAAAUUCAACUGCAAAAUUCGGGGCGUUACAAACCUAUCCCCCUUAAAAGAAUCUCGCCCUCGAGAUUCAGGGCUGGCUAGCAAAGAGCUCCGGGUACUUGGCCAUCAGAUCAUCUUCACGCUCCCAGGUUGCUUCUUCCUCAGAGUGGUGACUCCAUCUGACUUUGCACAUUCUGACGGUCUUCCUUCGGGUGACUCUAUCUGUAACCUCAAGGAUCUGAGCUGGCUUCUCAACAUAGGUCAAGUCCUCCUGGACUUCCAGACCUUCCACUGGCAACUGCUCUUCUGGCACACGCAAGCACUUCUUUAACUGAGACACAUGAAAGACAUUAUGCACAGCAGACAAACUCUCUGGCAAACUGAGCUGAUAAGCCACUUCUCCUCGUCUUGCAAGAAUCUGAUACGGACCAAUGUAGCGGGGUGCUAGCUUGCCUUUCACUCCGAACCUUCUGACUCCUCUGAUCGGUGACACUUUCAGAUAGACAAAGUCUCCGACUUCGAAACUCAGCUCUCUUCUUCUUGUGUCUGCAUAGCUUCGCUGCCUUGAUUGCGCUAUCUUCAGAUUCUCUCGGACCAUCUUGAUGUUCUCUUCGGCUUCGAGCAAAAUGUCUGGCCCAAACACUUGCUUUUCUCCAGGCUGAUCCCAUUGCAACGGAGUUCUGCAACUCCUUCCAUACAGCGCUUGAAACGGUGACAUCUUCAAACUGGCCUGGUAACUGUUGUUAUAGGAAAACUCCGCAUAAGGCAAUCGCUUGUCCCAUCCGGACUGAUCUUGCAACGCACAGGCUCUCAACAUAUCUUCAAGAAUUUGAUUGGUUCUUUCAGUCUGACCAUCUGUCUGCGGGUGAUAAGCUGAACUGAAAUUCAGAUGCGUGCCCAAGGCUUCAUGCAACUGCUGCCAGAAAUGAGAGGUGAACUGCGUUCCUCUGUCUGACACUAUCUUCUUUGGCACACCAUGAAGACAAACGAUCCGAGACAUAUACAAUUCUGCCAAUACUGCACUGUUGUAAUUGGUCUUGACAGGUAUGAAGUGGGCUGACUUGGUCAAGCGGUCCACUACUACCCAAAUGGAAUCGUAGCCGGCUCGAGUGCGAGGCAAUCCGACUAUGAAAUCCAUACCAAUUUCAUCCCAUUUCCACUGAGGGAUCUGCAACGGUUGCAACAAUCCAGCUGGUCUCUGGUGUUCUGCCUUAAUUCUUCGACAACUAUCGCACAUAGCCACAUGCUCUGUGAUUUCUCUUUUCAUUCCGUACCACCAGAAUUUCUUCUUCAGAUCCUGAUACAUCUUCUCACUACCAGGGUGGAUCGAAUAAGCUGUCUCAUGAGCUUCCUUAAGAAUCAACUCCCGAAUAGACUGGACAUUGGGAACACAUAAGCGGUCUUUGAACCAUACCACUCCUUCUGCAUCUUCUCGAAAAUCUUUACCUUUGCCUUCUAGAAUCAAUCGCCGAAUCUCACUGAUCUUCUCAUCAUUCUUCUGCGCUUCUUUGAUUUCGCGCUCCAAGGUAGGUUCCAAUUCAACUGUGACUCCUCGAGAAUUGUUCAGAAAUCCGAGACUCAACCUGUCAAACUCUUUGGCCAACUCAUAAGGCAUCGGACGAGCGACCAUCAGAUUGACUUGACUCUUUCUGCUCAGAGCAUCUGCCACUACGUUUGCUUUGCCUGGAUGGUAAUGAAUCUCCAACUCAUAGUCUUUGAUCAAUUCUAACCAUCUUCGUUGCCUCAUGUUCAAUUCUGACUGAGUGAAUAUGUACUUCAGACUCUUGUGAUCUGUGUAAACAUCGCAUUUCUGUCCAUACAGGUAGUGCCUCCAUGUCUUCAGUGCGUGAACCACUGCUGCCAACUCUAGAUCAUGGAUUGGGUAGUUCUUCUCAUGAACCUUCAGCUGUCGGGACGAGUAAGCCACAACUCUUCCCUCUUGCAUCAACACACAUCCCAAACCUGUGUAACAAGCAUCGCAAUACACCGAGAAGGGCUUGUGCACAUCAGGCAAGACUAGGACAGGCGCUGUUGUCAACUUCUCUUUCAGCGCUUCAAAGGCCUCUUGGCAUUUCUGGGUCCACUUGAACUCAACCUUGUUGCCUAGCAACGCUGUCAUUGGCUUCGCAAUCUUCGAAAACCCUUCAAUGAAUCGCCGAUAAUAUCCGGCCAUUCCAAUGAAGCUCUUGAUUCCUCUAGCAUCUGUUGGCGCUUUCCAGUUUAGAAUGUCUGCCACUUUCUUCGGAUCCACAGCCAAUCCUUCUUUGUUGAUUAUGUGACCCAAGAACAGGACUUCACUGAUCCAGAACUCACACUUGCUCAACUUUGCAUACAACUGGUGCUCUCGCAAUCUCUGCAAUACCAUCCUCAAAUGAUCUGCAUGCUCUUCUUCACUUUGAGAAUAAACCAGAAUAUCAUCAAUGAAUACCACCACAAACUUAUCAAGGUAAUCCAUGAAUACACUGUUCAUCAAGUUCAUGAAGAAUGCUGGCGCAUUGGUCAAACCAAAAGACAUCACUGUGAACUCAUAUAAACCAUACUUGGUAAUGAAUGCCGUCUUCGGAAUGUCCGAAGGUCGGAUCCUGAGCUGAUGAUAACCUGACCUCAGAUCAAUCUUGGAGAACACACUGGCUCUUCUCAACUGGUCGAACAGAUCUUCUAUUCUGGGCAAAGGAUACUUGUUCUUGAUCGUGACCUCAUUCAAAGCUCGAUAAUCGAUACACAUCCUCUUGGUGCCAUCUUUCUUCUCCACGAACAAGACAGGGGCGGCCCAAGGCGAGGUGCUUGGCCGGAUGUAACCUUUCUCUGACAGCUCAUCAAUCUGCUUCUUAAGCUCAACCAACUCUGGUCCAGAUAUUCUGUAAGCUCUCUUGAAGAUAGGGGCGGUUCCAGGAAGAAGCUCUAUAGCAAACUCAACUUUUCGCUCUGGUGGCAUACCCGGUAAAUCCUUUGGAAACACAUCUGGGAAUUCAGACACAACCUUGAUACUCUCAAUUGGGUCUGCUUCACUGCUAUCGACAGCCAUCUGAUAACAACUUCCUUUCUUUGGCUCAGGCGGGACUAACUCGGUCACCACUUCCUCUCCUAGUGGGACACCAACUUGAUUGUCCUUUUAUCACAACUGAUAACUGCCUGAUACUUAUCUAGCCAAUUCAUCCCUAGGAUGACAUCUAUUCCCUGAGUACCCAUUACUAUAAGGUUGGCGGGAAACGCUAUCCCCUUAUUUCCACACUUACAUUUAAACAAAUGCUAUCAGCUCGAAUUCUACCACCGGCUGAGUCGAUUUGAAUGGGGGUUAACAUGGUAGUAGUUGGAAGAUUAUGUGCUUCUACCCAUAAUGCAGUAAUGAAAGAAUGUGUUGCUCCAGUAUCAAAUAACACUUCUGCAAUAUGGGAGUCGACUGGGAACAUACCUACUAUCAUGUCGGGGGUCUCCUGAACUGCUUCAGCUUCCAAGUGGUUCAGUCUUCCAUGAUUAUAGCGCUGCUGAGAGCGGUUGCCUACUCCAGACUGAGACACAUUCUGCUUUGCUGGGGCAUUGGGGCCUGACUGCUGCUGGGCUGCCUUCUUCGGACAUUGCAUCACCCAAUGGCCUGCUCUCCACAGUGGAAACACGCCCUGUUUCCAACCUGAGCUGGUGCUGCCUGACUGUUCUGCUGAUUUGUUGGGGCAGGAAGACGAGGUGCUUGCUGAUUCUGCUUCUGAAACUGACCUCCUGACUGAUUGCUCUGACGGUUCUGGUACUGAUGCUGAGGAUACUGCCUUUGGAACUGCUGAUACUGCUGACGCUGCUGAUGCUGCUGAGGUGGACGCUGGUUCUGCCUGAACUGCUGAGGUUGAUUGCCUGAGAAACGGGGACGGCUGCUGCUUCCAGGCUGGGGUCCACUGAUCUUGCGCUUACGAUCUUCCAUCUCCUUGCGCUUCCUUUCUGUCAUGAUUGCUCUGUCAAUCAGGUGCUGGAAUGUCGGGAAGGUGUGGUUCAUCAGCUGAUACUGCAGAGGGUCAACCAAGCCUCUCAGGAAACGGUACUGUCGCUUGGCGUCGGUGUUGACAUCUUCAGGAGCAUAGCGAGACAAUUGCAGAAACUUGUCUCGAUACUCACUGACAGACGAUGACCCUUGCUUAAGGGCCAGGAACUCCUCCUUCUUCACUGUCAUCAGACCUGCAGGCACAUGGUACUGACGAAAGCUACCUCGGAAUUCUUCCCAAGUGAUGGUGUCGGGGUUGGCAUGGGUGGCGAGGUAAGACUCCCACCAUGACUGGGCUGCUCCUCUCAACAGACGGGGACCAUACAAGACUUUCUCCCGGUCAUCGCACUUAGCGGUAUGCAACUCCCGCUCCACAGUGCGCAGCCAAUCUUCAGCAUCCAUGGGGUCAGAAGAGUGAGCAACGUUGGUGGAUGACCUCUCAUGAAUUCAGCACGCUUGUCUCUAGGCAUCUGAGGCAUCUGAGGCUGGGGUGGUGCUUGCUGCUGUUGCUGCUGCUGCUGCUGAAUGGCGGCCAGAGUCUGACCGAUGGCUUGAACUGCCUGAGUCUGCAUCAGAAACAUCUGCUCAAUCGACAUCGGGGGCGGGGGCGGCAGGUGCUGCUGCUGGGGCACCUCAUCCUGCGGAGCGGCUCGCUCCUGCUGAGCACGCCUUCCUCCUCUACGCCUGUUCUCUGACAUCUGCAGAACGCAACCAUACAUCAGAACUGAUCUGGCAAAGCUUGCAGCAUAAGAAAAGAGUAUAGAAUUCUCCAACAGCACUGAACAGAUGAGCAUCUUCACUGAUCUCCAACACAGACCACACAGCUUCUCAGAUAAAGAGGAAAGGAGAAUAAUGGGUUUCCCAACUAUAUAACUAACUUUAUUGACAUAGUAUGUAAACCAAAAUGCAGGGGAUACCCACACUCUGGUGACAAUCAUUACAAAGAUCCAAACCAAACAUAGUUCAUCAUGACAAACAUAAAUGCACAGGAUAUAGCAAACUACCCUGUCUAACUAAGACUGACUAAGAUCGAGACUAACGCUAAGACUGAAGCUUCCAUGUAUAUAUAUUUCGUAUUAAUUACAAGAUCCAACUCUAACGACUAUGGUUCCAGAUUUAUCUUGGUCUUGCAGGCGGGAUUGCCAUAAGACUGGUGUCCACGCUGAGGUGAGCGGUACGGGUGCUGAGUCCCAACGGGAGCGGGGGAACCACCGUCCAGAAAACGACGUUCCGCGCGCUCAGCCCGCAGCAGGGCGAUCUCAGCACGAGCCCUACUCAGCUCGUCUAAUGCAUGGUCCAGCUCCGUGUUUAGCACGGCGGCUAGGUUGACUGUGCUGCUCAACCUAGGAUUGCCCUCACCGACAGGUGAAACAAUCACGCCUCCUGUGCUGCCAGAUGACGGCGGGGGUAAUACUUCAGGUCAAGACCAUCAGCUGCCCCACCGAAAACCGAGCAGUAGUGCGAAAGCGCACGCCGUGCAGCAUCUUGCAUGGCUGCCUCAGCUGAGUCCCGUCAGAGAUAGAAUAGUGCUCUGAACAGGCCUCUGCACCCUGGAGACUGUCCUCCGGGCAGCGCACCAAGCAAGUGCCUCCCAGCGGUCCGGGUAGACCCCGCGACUAUGCUGGUAGACCACACAGCGAUACUCGACAGACCAAGUAUGCCGGUCAAAUGCCCGACGUAGCAGGGUGUCGAGCGCAUCGUGGAAGUGACACCCGCGAGCAGCGUCGCGAGUGAUGGGUCGAGCAACCCAUCCUUCCGGCUCAGGGUUAGCAGAGAAGUCGGUGUCGUGGCUCGAGCUGUCGUCGCCAUCUCCGUCGUCUGGGUCUCCUCCAGCAGCUACUCCAGAAGCUGGGGCGCCCAGUGGUGGUGCAGGGGGCGGCUCCAGAGGAAGCACAGGGGAGUAGCUCCUCACAGACUCUAUCUCCUGGUGGAGCGAGAGGGAAGAGCUCUGCUGCUCCUGUCGUCGACGUCCUGCUCCUCACGCAGGCGGUGGUGUAGUCUCUCCAAGUGGCUGGACUGUCCGGCCACGGGACGGCGAAGCGGACGCUCAGCAAGGCGGGAGGGUAAGAAGGGGAUGACUGACUUUCGUGCAGUGUGUCUAAGUCGAGCCAUCUACAAAAGACAUCGCAAGCAAAAGGGUGAGAACAGAAUUAAUAUGACCAGCAAGUAAUGAAUCAUAAAUAAAUGAAGGAUCAGAAUAAAACAUGAUUUUCAGCAAGGUAUAAUAUAUAGUAGAACAUAGGUUUGGUCAGUAGGACCAACUUUUGAAGGGAUAUCAAAGUCAAGGAAGAGACAGAGGUCUAUAAUCCUUAGAACGACCAUUCUACUCUAGGUUAGCGGUCCUACAGUCAGCACGGCUUUGAUACCACUUAUGUCACACCCGGUUUUAGAAGGCAAACCGAAUGCGAACCAUGUACGUGCCAGGAUCAGUUAUUCACGUACACAGCAGUUACAUAAUAUGGACAUCAUCACACAGUGCUCAAAAUAGUAUUAAUAAGGGAAAUAGUCGAUUACAUCAUACGUCUGAGACGUCCAUAUAGGUCUUACAAUAAAUCAAAGUGCGGAAAAGAAACGUAGAUAACGCGGCCUUCACAGGCAGCCGACUGGGGGUUGCCGCUAACCCACACCUAGAACUCGUCGUAAUCUUGGAACUCCUGGAAGUCUCCUUCCACAGCUUCAUCUUCGCCUGAGCAGUGGUUGCAAUGCUGACAACCUGGGGGGGGUUUGGUGUGUAGAGCAAGGGUGAGUACACAUCAACAUACUCAGCAAGUAUCCUGUUUGGCUGUAGUGGACUAGCUUUAUGUGGGGAUAAGUCAAGCAGUUGCUUUUAGUUGGUCAGAUUAUUAUUUACUAGUAGAAAGCCAAGUUUUAGCAUUACCCAAGUUAUUAACCCGAUGUACCCUUUCCAAACGGAAAGAAUACCACUUACCAGCACCAUAGUCAUAACCAAAACCAUCAAUCUCGUAACCACCUGUACCACAAUGUCUCUGAUCAAGUAUCACUAAUCUCUGGAGCUCCCUUGGCCGCUCAUAACCGCGAGCACGGCUGAUAUAUCAGUUUCAUAACACUCUGCAGAGGUUGUGCACUUUACCCACAAGCCGUGAUUCCCUCUCUGGCCCGGGCUUGCAAGACCCUUAUUCACUCCCGAGGUGAAUGGCCAGGGAUUCACUACGAAGCCUUUACAAAGAUUCCCCGGGGCUGUAGCCACCCGUUAGGUUUCCUAAAUGCACCGCACUCCUCCCCAAGGGGCGAACCCAAACUUGGCAGAGCGAGCCGCAUACACCGAGCCCCAUUGACGGCACGACGGCUAAGUGAACUACACCCCGGAUCCUCUAAUUAUUCAGCUAAGGGCACCCCAUUCCACCCUCAUGGUUGCACUGUUUUCCCGGGCGGUCAUCCAUAGAACAGGUCCUUACGGAGAGGCACUCGAGAAACCGCUCGAGUCCCCUUGAAAACCACAAGUAUAAUCAUAAAGAAGAACGGGAAAACAGCGUAUCAUAGAUAAUCACAUCAUGUUCAUUGAUUAGAGUUGAGCAAUAGCAUCAGACUAAGUAGUAAUAAUCCGACCCAAAUAGGUAAACAAGGACAUGGAUAACAAAAGCUAGUCAAUCCUUAGGUUUAAAUGUGUAAUGCGGGAGGUGAAUUAAAGAAUAAAUAGGACAGAGAUAGGUCAAAGGACACUUGCCUCCACCAACCGACUGCUGCUCAGGGGCUUCUCCUGCGAAUUCCUCGGGCUCUUCGACCGGAUCGUUCUCUAUGCGAGCGCAAACAUACAUACAUACAUCCACAUAUUUAAUACAAAAGAACAGUACACCAUACAAGAUAACAAAUAAAGCGAACAUGCAUCAAGUAUGACAUUCGAUAACGCAUUUGUUAUGGUUAGAAAGAAACGGGAAAGGUCUCGCAGGGGGUUAAAUCUUAUGCACUAAUGACACAAUUGGUUUUUAACAAAAUAAUUCUGUUAUACAUAUUUAUAUAUACUAAUGGAAACCUAAUCACUUUUAGUUGAUCAACAUUGCACAGGGUAAACAAUUAACUACGUGAAUCAAUAACAUAACGGAAUUUUAAAUUAAACUUCCUAUUUUCCCAUAGCAUGAACAGUGAUUAGCCUACUUAAAAUACAGUAAUUAUGAUCACAGAAAGUAAAUAAAAUAAAAUAAAAAUAAAAAAAAUAAAAAAAACAGAGGGGGGAGGCGGUUGAACCGGCCCGGGGGCAGGCGGCCGAGCUGGGGCGGCCGAGCGCGGGGGGCGGCCGAGCUGGGGCCGGGGCGGCUGAGCCGGGGCCGAGGCCGGCUGAACCGGCCCGGGACAGGGGGGGCGCGACCAGGGGCCAGGGCGGGCGGCGGGCGCGGCCAGGGGCCGAGCGGGCGGCGGACGCGGCCAGGGGGCCGAGCGGGCGGGGCUGGGGGCGGCCGGGUGGCCGGGCGGCGCGGCCAAGGGCCAGCGGCCAAGGGGAGAAGGAGGGGAGGGGGAAGGAGAGAGGAGGGAGAAGGGGGAGGGGAGGGGGCUCACCGGCGAGGGGGUGGCCGACGGCGAGGGCGCGCAGCCGGGGUCGGGGCAGCGGCGGCGGCUAGGGCAGGGAGGUGGGUGGGGGCGGCGGCUUGGGUGGGGAGGGAGAGAGGGAGAGAAUGAGGGAGAGGGAGAGGGGAUUUGGGGAAAAAGAGGGGGGGUGGGGGCGGCUGGGCCUGCUUUGGGCCCAAGAGGGGGGGCGCAAGGGGCGGCUGGGCCGGCCGGGGUCGGCCCAGGGCGCGGGAGAGAGAGAGAGGGGAGAGAGAAAGAGAGAGAGAAAAGAGAAAGAAAGAUCUUCUUCUCAUUUUCGAAAUCCGAUCUUUCUACAUGAAUGCAUUUGCACUUUCAAAGCAAUCAAAAGAAAUGCAAGGUUCGGCAUGAUGCAUCAAACAACAUAAAGCAUUUAGGGUUUUUAUACGUACGGGAAUUCCAAACCGAAUCCCGCUAGAACUUUGGAAAAGGUCAAGGUUUAGCGAGGGGAAAAAGAAAAGGGAAAGGUAACGCCCGAAUUUUGGCGAGUAAAGAAAAGAAAAAAUUCAACUGCAAAAAUUCGGGGCGUUACAUAAGCCCGGUCAUUUUAUUGCAAAAUGUCCACUAUCUAGUGACAGUGACAGGGGUGACGACAAGAAGGGGAGAAGAAAGGAGAAGAAGAGGUACUACAAGAAGAAGGGCGGCGAUGCCCAUGUUUGUCGCGAGUGGGACUCCGAUGAAUGCUCUAGCGACUCCUCCGACGACGAGGACGCCGCCAACAUCGCCGUCACCAAGGGACUUCUCUUCCCCAACGUCGGCCACAAGUGCCUCAUGGCAAAGGAUGGCAAAAAGAAAAAGGUUAAAUCUAAAUCCUCCACUAGAUACGAAUCCUCUAGCGAUGGUAAUGCUAGUGAUGAGGAAGAUAAUUUGUGUACUCUUUUUGCCAACUUAAACAUGCAACAAAAAGAGAAAUUAAAUGAAUUAAUUUGUGUCAUCCAUGAGAAGGAUGAUCUCUUAGACUCCCAAGAGGACUUCCUAAUCAAGGAAAACAAAAAGCAUGUUAAAGUUAAAAAUGCUUAUGCUCUAGAAGUUGAAAAAUGUGAAAAUUUAUCUAGUGAGCUAAGCACUUGCCAUGAGACAAUUGACAACCUUAGAAAUGAGAAUGCUAAUUGUUAGCUAAGGUUGAUUCUAUUGCUUAUAAUGUUUCAAUUCUUAAUCUUAGAAAUGAUAAUGAUAAUUUGCUUGCUAAGAUUGAAGAAUUGAACAUUUCUCUUACUAGCCUUAGAGAUGAAAAUGAAAAAUUGCUUGCUAAGGCUAAAGAUUUUGAUAUUUGCAAUGCUACCAUUUCCGACCUUAGAAGUAAAAAUGAUAUAUUGCAUGCUAAGGUUGUAGAAUUAAAAUCUUGCAAACCAUCUACAUCUACCGUUGAGCACACUACUAUUUGCACUAGAUGUAGAGAUGUUGAUAUNNNNNNNNNNNNNNNNNNNNNNNNNNNNNNNNNNNNNNNNNNNNNNNNNNNNNNNNNNNNNNNNNNNNNNNNNNNNNNNNNNNNNNNNNNNNNNNNNNNNAUCUCCAUCAGUGACCCAUUUGAUGGAAUCCCGUUGCUUCCAAUAAAUUUUUUGAAACUGAAGCAACUCAGCAGCCUUGUAUUCAAUAACUCACGGGAAAUUUCAUUCUUCAAUCUAAAGUCACGUGCUCUUCAAUAAUAUCAAUGAAUUCAAUAAUCAAUUAAUUUGUCUCACGUUUUGUCAAUUUUCGGCAGUUGAUCGCUGCCACUCUUUUAGGAUUUUCUAGUGAACUUGAAUUUUGCUGUUAAAUUCUUUCGCUUUGUCCAAAGGCUUGGCAGACCAGUCACGAAUUUUGAAAAACUGUCAUAAAUCAUCAAAUUGCAGCCAGAAAUUUCAAAUCUAAAGAUCUUGGGUUUGGGACCUUUGACUUGAAAGAAAUCAGGCAAGACACAUGAUCAGAAAUAUCCCUAGCAGCGUUGUUCGAGAGUGUCAGGGUAACACACCGACCAUUCUUGCGACAUGAAAACCAAUCGAGUCUCUUGAAGAAGGGCUCCUUGUUUGUUCGACCAAGUAAAGAAGAGCCAUGGAGGGGAAUUUCCAACAGGUCGAGCUGGCUGAUUGCCUCGUUAAAUUUCAGCAUCAAUAAUGUCCCCCAGCGAUAUUUCUAUUUUCAGGCCACGCGUAAGAUUAAAGUCCCCAACAAUCAACCAGCGCUUUUCCGAGGGCAUAUUAUAUUGGAGAACCAGUGAAGGAAUUCAAUUUCCAUUCGGAGAACCAGUGGGAUUCCCUUUUGCUCUUUGGAAUAAAGUGACAGGGAAGUUAGCCACUGUUGACCCUCAGCUACUUGGAUUAGAAUGACGCCAAGCAGCAUAUGACUUCAAACGAAAUAACUACUCGAUUGUUGAAAAAAGGCUACAUAAUCACUCUCAAAAAAUAUAAGCUAUAUGAAUCACAAAUCUGAAUCAACAUAGCAAGAUAAAAUUUAUCACAUAGAUAAUCUUAACCAAAAGGAAUCUCGAAACUGAUUAACCAUUGAUGACCAAAUCAUUUUAUGUUGCCAAAGUUUUUAACGGUGCACAUAAACUCGGUAAAUUCAGAAAAAUCAUCAUGACAUUAGCCCAUACAAUCAACAUUUUUGGGAGAUAAAUAGGAACAACAUUAGAACUUUCAUCAUCUACCAAACACUGUAAGAAACAUAAACAAAAACAACAUCCUAGGGCUUCCAUCGUUCACCAAGCACUCUGUAAGCAACACAAAAACAAAGAUGGUAUUAGAUUAAACAUCCCUCCCUUCCCUACCAUCAAGUGCACCAUCUCAGUGGCUGAUGAAUACAGAAUACAAACUGAAAUUGAAUACAAUACACAAACUGAAAUUGGUAAUGUUGAAUACAUAAUGCAAACUGAAAGUGACAUGGAUACACUAGCUGACCUACUUUUGCAUACAGGGUGUGCUGAAACUGAAUUGGUAAUUUAUGGUGAAUUAUACAGGAGUGUUGCAUACAACUGGGGUUAUAUGGUCUACCCUGCUACAACAUUUAAGCAUGCAUUGACUACAAGCCAGCAAAUAUAUACAUAGAGCUGCAUAUAACAGUAACAUGAAGGGAACAAUUUAGCACAAUAAAGCCUACCUAAGGAGCAUGAUCCUAGCAGCAGCUCUUCACUAAUUUGUAUAGAAGGAAACAAUAAAAAAAGUCAAAAAAUAAUAUAGUUUCCUUUCCAAUCAGCAAGCAUGGAGUUAUGGAGAUCAAACUAAUCCCAGGAACAUCAUAUGGAUGUAUUCCUUGAUCUAUACACAAAGUAUCAUGUAGCAGAUUGAAGCAAAGGAUUUUAUUUUAUCGAGAAAGAGAGCACCUGAUAAGAACAUAUACAUGGUGAGUCUUCCUAUUCUCGGUAUUGAGAGUGGAACAAUUUUUAUACUUUCAGCAGUAUAAACUAAGGGCCUAUUUAGAUAGCUUGAACUAAUUAUUUGCAUGGUUAAUGGACACCUAAUUCUGCUACCUGAUUCUACUAUUCCAUAUGAGUAUGAAAGCGGGUUCUGUCUGUACUAGAGUUCUAUUGUUAGAGCUAGCUAGACUAGAUAAUAUAGAAAGGCUCACAGUACAAUUUCCAACUCAUGAAUGUAUUGAGAAACAAUUCUUGAUAAUAGAAAAAUAUACUAUUAUGUGAGAAUAAACUUAGACAUACAUUUUGCAACUUCAACAAUGUAUUUCUCUGCAGGUAAGCUCUGAAAGUUUCAACUUUUUUAUAUCACUGCAAGACAAAAAUCAAAUAGUUAGGUUUAGAUCAGCUAACAUGAACAGGCAAGAAACUAGUCUUUGAAUAUUAAACCAUCCUAUUGGCAUUUAUAAAUGAAUGGCCUGAUAUGACUCACGGUACAUACUAGAGUACAAAUAAUGUAGCUGUGUCUUUCUAGGUACUGAAGCUCACCAGUCCCCAACAAAAAUUCCUGACAACUGUAAUCCAUUCUAGGACUAGUAGAUGCAGAGUCACUUGCUCAUAGCACCUCACACCUGCCAAUCAAACCAAACGAAUUGAGGCCACAGCAGAGCAAACAACCCAUUGAAUCCUACAGUAAAAGAGUAAAGAGUGAGGGUCCCUCUUCGUCCCAAAUCUGCAGACACAUAUAUAUCCAACUUAUGUUUCUCUAUUUCUCCAGGCCGGAUCAUGGAUCUAACAAGCAAACCAUGCCUUCUUAUCCGGUCUGAUACUGAUCCUUGUGUCACUUGUUGCUCACAAGCCAGAACAAGCAGAUCCAUGAAGAGGAGGCCUCCUGGUCCACGGGCGCUCCCCUUCAUCGGAUGCAUCCACCACGUGCUCACCUCGCAGCCGCAGGCCGCCCUACGUGACCUGGCUCAGAAGCAUGGCCCGGUGAUGUACUGAAGCUGGGGCAGGUGGACACCGUCGUCAUCUCCUCGCCGACGGCGGCGCAGGAGGCGCUCCGGAGAAGGACAGAAGCCUGGCUCGCGGCCGAGCUUGCUCGGCUCGGAGAUCAUCUGCUACGGCAACCGCGACAUCGCCUUCGCGCCCUACGGCGACUACUGGCGCUCGCUGCGCAAGAUGUGCACGGUCGAGCUCCUCAACGCUUCCAAGGUGAGGCGGUUCGCGGCCAUCAGGGACAGCGAGACCAUGUCCCUGGUCAGGGAGAUACGCCGCGCCUGCGCCGCCGCCAGCGGAGAGCCCGUGGACCUCGGCGGCCUGCUCCUGUCGUGCACCAACUCCGUAACCGGAAGGGCAGCGUUCGGCAACCGCUGCAGCAGGGAGCUCACGGCGGAUUUCCUGUCGCCAUCUCCGUGGUGAUAAGCAACAUCUCGGGGCUCUGCGUCUCGGACCUCUUCCCGUCGCUGCGGUUCGUGGACGCCCUCACCGGCACCAAACGCCGCCUGCGGAGGCGCACCAGCGGCUCGAAGACGUGUUUGCCAGGAUCAUCUCUGACGGGAGGCACGGCGGGCGGAAAGGAAGGGGACUGGUGCUGGUGCAGGAGGAGACGACGACGACGACGACCUUCUAAGCGUCAUGCUGAGGAUUCGCGACGAGGGUGAGUUUGAGAUCCCGAUCAACAACACAAACAUCAAGGCAAUCAUCCUGGUAAUACUACAUAACGUUGAAUCGUUGAUACGUAGCGUACUGCCAUGAUAUGAUACAACACGUAACCUGAAUUUUGUCCAGCGCAGGAUUUAUUCACAGGAGGGACGGAGACGACUUCGUCGGUGGCCGAGUGGCUCAUGGCGAGCUGAUGAGGAACCCCGACGCAAUGCACAAGGCGCAAGACGAGGUGCGGCAAGCAUUCGAGCACAGCAGCCCGACGAGCACGAAGCCCAGAUGGACAAGCUGCGCUACACCAAGACGGUGAUCAAGGAGACCCUGAGGCUGUACCCGCCCCUCCCGCUGCUCCUCCCUCGCCAGUGCGAGAGACCUGCGACAUCGGCGGGUUCCAGGUGGCCAAGGGCAGCAGGGUGAUCGUGAACGCAUGGGCGAUCGCGAGGAGCCCGGCGCACUGGGACGACGCCGACAGGUUCAUGCCUGAAAGAUUUGAGCGCGACGAUAGCGCGGCAGGUUAUUCCAGGGCUACUACUGAUGGCACUACACAGUUUGAGUACCUGCCGUUUGGGCACGGGAGGAGGAUUUGCCGGGCAUGGGCUUCGGCUUGUCCACCUUGGAGAUCCUAGUGCGCGGCUCCUCUACUACUUUGACUGGAGCCUUCCGGAAGGAAUGCAGGUGGUGGACCUGGACAUGGACAUGACUGUCGGUGCGUCGGCCAGGA
rnacentral:lncRNA from 1 species